rnacentral:lncRNA from 1 species
UGUGUCUGCCUGCCUGCCUGUCUGUCUGUCUGCCUUCCUGUCUGUCUGCUGAGGAUUUCCAUCUCCUUCCGGGAUACCCUCUUUACCGGGGACCCAGGAGGAGAGAGGAAGAGAGGAAAGAGCGUGCCUUGUUUGACCUUCGGAGCGGUUUCAGAGUGAGGAAGAAGGAGAGGAACGGGCGAGAAAAGCAGAAUCCAUCAGGAGGAGGGAGGAUCAGGUGAGUGCUUUAACAUACAGUACAUACUUCUGUAUGUGUAA